GGUGGUGUAGCUCAGUGGCAGAGCGCUUGCCUGCCAUGUGCAAGGCCCUGGGUUCCAUCCCAGCACUGCAA
rnacentral:tRNA from 1 species